rnacentral:misc_RNA from 1 species
CCGAGUUUACAACUCCCAAACCCCUGUGAACAUACCUAUCGUUGCCUCGGCGGUGCCCGCUCCGGCGGCCCGCCAGAGGACCCCCAAACUCUUGUUUUAUACAGUAUCUUCUGAGUAACACGAUUAAAUAAAUCAAAACUUUCAACAACGGAUCUCUUGGUUCUGGCAUCGAUGAAGAACGCAGCGAAAUGCGAUAAGUAAUGUGAAUUGCAGAAUUCAGUGAAUCAUCGAAUCUUUGAACGCACAUUGCGCCCGCCAGUAUUCUGGCGGGCAUGCCUGUUCGAGCGUCAUUUCAACCCUCAAGCCCCCGGGCUUGGUGUUGGGGAUCGGCGUGCCCUCGCGGCGCGCCGUCCCCUAAAUCUAGUGGCGGUCUCGCUGUAGCUUCCUCUGCGUAGUAGCAACACUCGCACUGGAUCGCAGCGCGGCCACGCCGUUAAACCCCCCACUUCUGAAAG